rnacentral:rRNA from 1 species
AGCGAACGCUGGCGGCAGGCCUAACACAUGCAAGUCGAGCGCCGUAGCAAUACGGAGCGGCAGACGGGAGAGUAACACGUGGGAACGUGCCCUUUGGUUCGGAACAACCCAGGGAAACUUGGGCUAAUACCGGAUAAGCCCUUACGGGGAAAGAUUUAUCGCCGAAGGAUCGGCCCGCGUCUGAUUAGCUAGUUGGUGGGGGAAUGGACCACCAAGGCGACGAUCAGUAGCUGGUCUGAGUGGAUGGUCAGCCUCACUGGGACUGAGACACGGACCAGCCUCCUACGAGAGGCAGCAGUGGGGAAUAUUGGACAAUGGGAGCAAGCAUGCUCCAGCCAUGCAGCGUGGGUGAUGAAGGCCCUAAGGUUGUAAAGACCUUUCGGCGGGGAAGAUAAUGACGGUACCCGCAGAAGAAGCCCCGGCUAACGUCGCGCCAGCCGCCGCCGUAA